UACGGGGGGGGCAAGCGUUGUUCGGAAUUACUGGGCGUAAAGGGCUCGUAGGUGGCCAACUAAGUCAGACGUGAAAUCCCUCAGCUUAACUGGGGAACUGCGUCUGAUACUGGAUGGCUUGAGUUUGGGAGAGGGAUGCGGAAUUCCAGGUGUAGCGGUGAAAUGCGCAGAUAUCAGGAGGAACACCGGUGGCGAAGGCGGGUCUCUGGGCAGUAACUGACGCUGAGGAGCGAAAGCGUGGGGAGCGAACAGG
rnacentral:rRNA from 1 species